rnacentral:rRNA from 1 species
AUUGAACGCUGGCGGCAGGCCUAACACAUGCAAGUCGAGCGGAGCGGCGGACGGGUGAGUAAUGCCUAGGAAUCUGCCUGGUAGUGGGGGAUAACGUCAGGAAACGGGCGCUGAUACAGCAUACUAUCAGAUGAGCCUAGGUGGGAUGAGCUAGUUGGUGGGGUAAAGGCCUACAAAGGCAACGAUCCGUAGCUGGUCUGAGAGGAUGAUCAGUCACACUGGAACUGAGAAACGGUCCAGACUCCUACGGGACGCAGCAGUGGGGAAUAUUGGCCAAUGGGCGAAAGCCUGAUCCAGCCAUGCCGCGUGUGUGAAGAAGGGCUGCGGAUUGUAAAGCUCUUUAAGUUGGGAGGCGUUACCAACAGAAUAAGCACCGGCUAACUUCGUGCCAGCAGCCGCGGUAAUU